UAAAAUAAUGCAUAAAAUAUACCAAUAUACGAUGACAGGAGAGAAUCAUAGAGGAUAGAGGAGUUGUGAUUGUCGGCCAGGGAUUAGGGGAUACGGUUAAGGCAAUUUCGGACCACGAAUAAUAACUAUUGUCACUGUGGUAUGGCAGUAGUGGUGACGGAGAAAACGAAUUUAUAAGCUUAUUUAUAGAAGCACCACCACCGAUGGACAAAGGAAACCCAUUUGUUGGAGAGGGGGGUAGGAAGGGUGGUCUUUGUUCGUCACAAAUAACGGUGAACAUGUUAUUGGUCAUUGGUGAUAACAAUAAUCAGUCAUGAGCGUUCGGUUUCUGCUCGAUUUCGAUCGUCGGUGGUACAAUACGCGAAGUAAGCACACAAAAAAUUGUAUCUGCGUGGGCUGGCAUAAAAGCCAAAUACCACGCGACACUCUGUCUUCAGAGGAGCCAUCACCAAU